GACACUUCAAGGCGAGUCUUGAUUUGCUCAGAAACAACACCAAAAGCAAGAAAACCAGCCCAAGCAAGUCCAGCACCAAGGCCAAAUCUCCUUGUUAAGGAAGAGGCAAUCCAAUCAGUAGAUUCUGCAGUUGUCGAUAGGCGGGCAGGUUUACUACUAGGCUUUUGCUGCUGCACAUUAGCUGCUGGGGCAGGUGAUGGAGGCUCUGAAGAAGUUGCACUUAGAUUUUGAGAUGGUGGUGGAGUUUGUGGUUGUGGAGGUUGAUUUGGUGGCUGAGGAGGAGGAGGGGUUUGUGAGGAUGAAGAGAAGUUAGUUCUGGUAAUUGGGUGAGACACAAAUGGUGGUGAUCCAAAGAAGGUUGCCAUUUUUUGGAUAUGAUAUGAGCAUAUGAUAAGACUAGCUGAUAUUUGUAAUGACUUAAACUGCAUUCAGUAGUAUAUGGUCCCUACCUUAUCCUUACAUGCCUCAUUUUUUUUCUUUUUGUCCGGAUCAACUUGUGAACGUCUCGAAUAUUCCAUCGGAUAUCUAUUAUUUCUUUUCAACGAAAGUACCGGGUAACUUUGCGACCAAGAUUAGGCAGAUAGAGAAAAACACCUAUCAUUUUUUAUCUUUUGAAAUUUGAACCUUUACUUUCCGUAAAUAUCAUCAUAUUUCAUUGACAACUACGCCACACCCUUGAAGCAUUCUCCGGCUUGAAAGGUUUGGAAACUCUAAGUGGCCAAAUCAUCAACACAUCAACAGGGUAAAUUAACAAUUGAUGAUUAACUAAAUUUUAAAUCAAAAGGGAAACAAAAAAGAACAUGAUUUUUAUUUUAUUUUUUAAAAACAAAAAGAACAUAGUAACAUCUCUGCUUCUGCCACUGGAUAAUCAAGCAUCUCAAUUUCAUUGCUUUUCUUUCGGCUUCAGUAUGAAGAAUUUGGAAAAUAUUCUCAAUCACUCUGUAAUUACAACGAGAUCCCUAAAAUGAAUAUACAUGAGAGAAAAUACACAACUUUGAGGACUGUGGGUUGACAACUGCCAGAAAACAAAAGCAGGAAAAAAGAAUCACAAUUGACUCAAUAUGAAGUAUAUGUCUGUUGACAGAUCCUUUGGCUUCCUUCAAUUUCUGGUUGAGCAAAUAUGAACAUGUCUUCAUUUCCAAUAAAAGAUAAAAAUUCCGUUUUCCUUCUGUCCUAAACCUGUUGUGCUGCUGGAUCACCCAAGUUUGUUUAUGACCGGCCCUUUUCUUGACCUCUGUUCGCCAGUGGUUUUGGUACUUGUGAACUGUUUAUAGGCUUUUGCAGUGGUUUCAAAGCAGCCAUAAUCUCACCAAAUGAAGGCCGUAACUUUGGAUCUCUGCACAUAAGCAGGAAAAGCAAAAAAAUAUAUAAGAUUUUUACACCAGCAAAACCGAAGAUGACCUUGUAUCCGCACACAGCAUGUACUGUAUUUUGUCAUGCCUGGUGCUUUGGUACCGACGUCAUCUAUAAGUGACUCACUCCAUCUUUUUUUCUCUCUUUCUUAUAAGAGUGGUGUCCAGGAAAACUUGUAUACACUUCACAUAUUCCACCUGGUUUUACUACCCCCAGCACAGGUACCAUACCAGGUAACUAUGCCCGCCAAGGCUUUGACAAAUGGGAAGAAAUCACCUAGUGUUUUUUGUCUCUGCAGGGAUUUGAACCUGAUUUCCAAGGUUUGCACCCAUUUCAUUGAUCACUAGGCCCCACAAUGUAUUUGGACGAAUUAGAAAUGGCUUCCUGCAUGCCAUGGUCGUACGCUCUUUUAAGCCGCUACACCCUUGGGUGCAGGAUUUUCAGGUAUUCUCUUUUAGAAAGAGUCAUCAAAUUACUUAAUUGAUUUCAUAUAGUAGGUUAUACAACUAUGAUCUCCUUGGUUGACUUUAAAAGAAGGGACUCCAACCAUUACAUUAUCUAAAAGUACUAAAGUAGUAAACCCAGCCAUGUACAUUGACACUUUUGAGGUCAAUUUACAACGAGUCAAUGACCAAGCACCCUUGCUCUUUAUAACUGUGUUACUGUGUAGAUAUUUUUUUUUUGAUAAGGUAAAAUUUUAUUAAAAGGUACCAAGAUGGUACAAGUGUCACUGUGUAGAUAUUAACAGAAGCACUGAACAUUCGGGCAUUGCCCUACCAGCACUGUAAGGGUCACCUACGUGCCUUGGUUACUGGUCUACCACCGACAACCAUAUGAUAAAGAAAUGAGUAAAAGAUAGCGGAGGAAGCUCAAAUAGGGGCCGAAUGACUGAAAGAUAA
rnacentral:lncRNA from 1 species